ACCACACCACACACACACACCACAAACUUAGCUACUGUUUAUAAUUGUCUGUGCCACGUUAUAGGUGAUUCAUGCUGUACCUACAUACCCGAUGUAUCCCAGAACAUGUCUACAACCAUAUUUCAUCUCAACGCCCCCUUAGCUGACAUGAAAGCUGAGGACGUCCCCCUUAGCUCUGGCUGGGACUGGUGGUCUUGGCUCACUGGGGGCAGAUGGGAAGCAUGGGCAGUCUGGAUAUUGACGGUGUACAUGUGAAAACUGUACAAUUAUGGAAGCAAUUGAAGAGCUGCUGCCAAGAAAAGGAUGUCAUGGAGGAAUUCAAUGAAUAUGAGGGACAUGGUGCAAACAUAACCUGCAUAACAGAUCACCCAGGAUUCAAAUCAAAGUGUCUGGAUGUUUGGGUGUUGCCGCCAAGAAGGACAGACAACAAGCAGGUGAUCAGCCACGUAAUGAAAUGUAUCACUAUAUGGCAUACCGCCAGCUGGUGAGAUCUUGUUGGGGAAUACUUGCACAACAGCAUCCCUCUUGUUUGGUUCUUCCCACCGACUGCUGAGUGGAUCUGGGACUUCGAAAGGUUCCUCAUCAACAUUGUCUUGGAACAAAGUGUAGAGUCUCGGUCAAGAGUUCAGUAACAUACUCUGCAAAAAAUAUGUUUUAUAAUCAAGAAUUAUAUAUAAUAUAUAAUAUGUGUGUGUGUGUGUGUGUAUCUGUAUUUGUAUCUUACAUAUCAAUAUUGAAAUAUUAUGAUUCUGACCUUUGGAACAACCAACCUGGAUUGGAACUUGCAGUCCAGCUGACCUGACACGUGGUCACGCCUGCAUGGACUAGUGGUGUGGUGUGUCCGUGGAGGGGGAUCCGACAUGUCUGAAAUGUACAAAACACAACUUUACUAAUAAAUCUUUCAAACCAGCUUGAAAUUGUAUUGCACGUUUAUACAUGUCU
rnacentral:lncRNA from 1 species